rnacentral:rRNA from 1 species
GACGAACGCUGGCGGCGCGCUUAACACAUGCAAGUCGAGCGAGAACCGGGCCUUCGGGCCUGGGGAAAGCGGCGAACGGGUGAGUAACACGUGGGUACCUGCCCUCGGCACUGGGAUAGCCCGGGGAAACCCGGAUUAAUACCGGAUAGCCUCCGGAGCCUUCGGGCGCCGGAGAAAAGGUGGCUUCGGCAUCCGGCUGAGGAUGGGCCCGCGGCGGAUUAGCUUGUUGGUGGGGUAACGGCCCACCAAGGCGACGAUCCGUAGCUGGUCUGAGAGGACGAUCAGCCACACUGGGACUGAGACACGGCCCAGACUCCUACGGGAGGCAGCAGUGGGGAAUCUUGCGCAAUGGGCGAAAGCCUGACGCAGCGACGCCGCGUGCGGGAAGAAGGCCUUCGGGUUGUAAACCGCUUUCAGGAGGGACGAAGCCACUCGGGUGAAUAGCCCAGAGGGUGACGGUACUUCCAGAAGAAGCCCCGGCUAACUACGUGCCAGCAGCCGCAGUAACAC